UUUCUUUGAUUUGGAAUUUAAUUUAUAGGGCAAUAUGAACAUAUUUAUCAACACAUUUAAUUAAGUCUACACAUGUGAUCGAGUGUUUACCAUAAGAAGGAAGCGAUACGAUUAUCUUUCAUAAUAUCACACUGUAAGGUACGCCGCUCACGUAUAAAACGGUCUUGUUCUAAUAGCUUCCUUCAAUAACAGCGGUGAGUUGCUUGCGAAUAAUGACUGGCACGAGUCCAACGCGGUAACUUAUAAAUAUAUCACUGUGUUAUCACACUUUAUUUUAUAACAAUUCAGGAUUUGUAACUGUGUUUGGUUCGUCGAACUGAUUUAAGAUGCCCUGGUACAAGCCGGGAUAAGAAGAAGUGGUAUUUGCUUAGUUGUGUCAACAUAUUCAUUAUUCAGUUCUAUGCUUGUUGCGCGGCACUAUCUGUGCGACGUAAAAAAUGUUAAACACUCUAAAUCGAACUGAGGAUGAGAACAGACCAGUUUUACCGCAAUCAUCUCGCGUAUAUAUAUAUAUUUAUUAACUUCAAUCGAAAGAGAACACAAAUUGAGUGAGUUCGACACAGAUGGUUUCAACCUAAACACAAAUUCGACAAAGAGAACACCGUCACAUACAAUGACUUCUCAACAAAUGGCUUCCCAGUCAACGCCUCGAAAUGAUGAAUUUUAUCGAAAGACGUUAACUGGAGGACGAAUUCAAUGCAAGAAGAGACAUCAUAUAAUGGCCAACUAUAUGGAUGAUAAAUCUUUACCAUUUAUAUACAUCGAUGAGAACAACAGGGAUAAAGGUGAUAUUCUUAAACAACUGGCGCAAGAGAUUCUGCAAAAGCUACCACAACUUUCCAAGAAACAUCUUUUGCUUUCUAUAACAAACGGUGAUGAUAGUUAUGAUUCUAGAACCCUACGUGUUGCUCUCGAACAGACAUUACAAGGUAUGCUUUCUCAAAACAAUUAUUGGGAAUAACAUAUGUGUAUGCCAUCAAAAGGGUAUAACAAUAGAAUAUCAUAUAUAUAUAUCAUCGGGAAAUGACAUGACACCACAUGUUUUCGUUUGUAUUGAGACAAACUACAA